AAAGGGAAAGAACAAAGAGAAGAAAGCAACUAGGAAACUCCUGGAUUACUACACGAUGAUCUGCUGCAUCUUUUGGUUGAUUAUGGGAAACCACCCAAUUCAUCAGGACUUUUCAUCUAAAAACUAGCAGUGAAUGUUCCCAGCCUGUGCCCUUGCCCCACCUCCCAGCUCGUGGACGGUGAGGGAGACGGUCGGUGUGUGUGACGUGACCAAUCCUCGGCAGCUGCAGUUCUUCUCCAUCGGCAGCACUGGUUGAGGCCGUGAAAUCCCCCAGGUUGGCAGAGCUGGGGGACCGCGUGGCUCUGGACAGAAUGGCCCGGCUGGGUCACUGUUACAGCACUU